AUCAUGGCUCAGGAUGGACGCUAGCUACAGGCUUAACACAUGCAAGUCGAGGGGCAGCAUGGUCUUAGCUUGCUAAGGCUGAUGGCGACCGGCGCACGGGUGAGUAACGCGUAUGCAACCUGCCCGAUACCGGGGUAUAGCCCAUGGAAACGUGGAUUAACACCCCAUAGUACUUUUAUCCUGCAUGGGAUGUGAGUUAAAUGUUCAAGGUAUCGGAUGGGCAUGCGU
rnacentral:rRNA from 1 species